UCAUAUGAGUGAGCAUUUUAAGACAAUGUGGAUUGAACAACCAUGCUAGAAAGCUGAACUUUCUUGGUAGAGGGAAAACGCUUGAAGACGUGGGGAAGAAGAAGGGAUCUUAAUUAUGAAAAAUGGAAGUGGAGAAAAGAAUGUAGGGGCUUUAAACAAGAAUGCUGCCUCGUCUUCCUCUUCUCAUCUUCGUCUUCCGCCGCUGCCUCACGCUGCUGCUGCCUCGUCUUCCUCUUCUCAUCUUCCACUUCCGCCGCUGCCUCUUCUCAUCUUCCUCAUAAGGAUUCUGGAGUAGCGGGAGGGGGUUUCUCUUCGUCUCCCCCUUCCUCUGCUUUCCUCUUCUCUCCCCCGGACGUCUCCACCGACGGCGAUAGAGGCCGAAGGAGAUGGAAAGCCAUGCAGAUAAACCUCAACAACCUAGUAGUAGUCUUCAGCUUCCUGGCCCUUCACAAUCUAAUUAUCCUGAAGAUCCAGAAUGGGAUGAAUUUGGAAAUGAUUUAUAUGCCAUCCCAGAAGUCCCCCAAGUUCAACACAAUCAAGUUCUGGAAUCUAUCCCAAGUAGAGUUGAGGAAGAUGGCAAAAUCAAGGCUCAUAUAGACAUGACUGACAUGGAUUGGCAGCGGACAUUUCAUCCAACAUUGCCCUACAAACGGUGAUCCUAAUUAUGACAUUAAGAAAGUCAAACCACCAACCGGCAUCCCUAAGUCAAUGCUAGUAGCCAUCGACCUAGGGCUGCCUUUGAAAAAGAAAUUGAGGGCUUGCCUUCUACCAGGACUGGGUGAGCUUCCUGCUGAACUGCGAUGCCCAUUGUGCAAAGAUGUGUUGAAAGAUGCUGUCUUCACUAGCAAAUGCUGCUAUGAGAGCUUCUGUGACGAAUGUAUAAGCGAGUACAUAAUCACACAAUCAAAAUGUGUUUGUGGAGAAACCAAUGUUCUUGCGGAUGAUCUGCUUCCUAAUAAAAGGCUUAGGGACGGUAUAUUAGAAACAAAAGCAACUAGCAGUGCAGAAAAUGGUGGAAACGUGCUGCAGAUACAAGAUAUGGAAUCUGCUCGCUGCUCUCAGCCAAAAGCACCAUCUCCCACUCUUUCUGCUACUGCAAAAGAAGAGAGUUUGCAGCCCCCUGUGAGAGAAAGUUCUGAAGCUUUGAAGGUGACUGUGGCUGAGAGUGAGGCAGCUGCAGCCAUUAGCGCUCCUCAGCAGUCUAACGAAAAAAGCAAAGCAGCAAGAAGUAUUGAUCAGACUGAGGCUACACAUGACUCCAUUAGCAUGAAGGAUCCAAUUUCUCAGGAAAGUGCUCUGCAAGCAGAGGAGGAAGUCCAACAAAAGCUCUCUAUGGGAGAUCAAGAUUUCCAAUCCAUCAAACGGCCCCCUAGUCCUACAUGCGUGAGCGGAACGGUGCCGGCGGUAAACAGUUUUCACCCGGCGACAUCUGCUCCGUGUGCCGGCUGCCGUGAAGGUCUUCACAGCUCGUCCGGAAGCCUGCUUCAAAAGGGAUUGUUUAAGAAGGCGCUGGAGCUCUUCGUGUUCUGCGAAGCUUUUGUUCCUCUCAUCGUCUUCUUCACCAACGGAAAGCUCUGAGAUUUUCACCCACUGCAGGUUCCUCUCCCUCCCCACCUCCCUCUCCUGCGAUGAAUUAGAUAGAUUGUGUUCUGUCCUGCUAUUUCCUUGUCCUAUUUCUCCUUUCUUACGUUGUUCAGGUUGGAUAGAUUUGAGCGAUCUUUUCCUCGCUCUCAUCUCCGAAGUUGAGGGUCUUCUAUUCCUACCUCUAGUUGCUGAUGAUUUUAAUCCAUAGGCAUCCGUUUUUUUUGUUUCGUGAGAUUGAGAUUCCCUGAUUUCCUUUGUUUUUUUGUUUUGCAUGGUAGUGUUUUUUAAGGGCUUUUAUUUUUUGACCCGAGAAUGGUGUUUUCGUUUUCUGCCAACCGUUUACGGCCUUACACUCUGUUCUAGGAAUGAAACCCUGCAGGGUUUUCUUUUAAUAGAAUUUGGCAGCAGAACAUGGUUUGGCAGUGUCUCAGACAUGAGCCGAUAAGCCAUGUUUUGCCAUACUUGAAGCACUGUUGUAAGGACGAUUCCUAAAUUGCAAAUGCAGGCUGUUUUUAUGGUUGAGAAAUUUUUACAUUGAAGGUGCGGUUAGGAGCUUGGCAGCACAGUUGGUCGGGUCGGGUCAGGGUUCAGACCCGGACCCGAGCUCCACUCGCGUGUGAGCCCGAUGCCCUCUCCUCCCUCGUCUUUCCCUCUUCUCCCGCAUCUUCCUCACAGACCCCCCCCCCCCCCCCUCUGUUGCCACUCGUGCCAGCACAAGGAAGAAGAAGACGAUGGAGGUGCUGGACGGUGAAGAGAAGACGGAGGUGGUGCAGGCGGCGGCGAGGACGGCGGUGCUCCGCUUGGGGACAUUUUUCCCCUCAUACCAGUGAAGUGAGGGCAUUAGUGGUGAAGGCAGCUAGCGAUUUUUGGCGGUGGCACUUGACUGAAACUUGAGGAGGCUGUUGGAGGCAUCACAGCAGUUUGAACACUUAGAUUGGGGUGAGCAAGGCCUUUUUGAGCUGAGAUUAUUGAAUAUUAGGCACUUGACUGAAAGGAGGCUGUUGGAGGCGUCACAGCAGUUUGAACACUUAGAUUGGGGAACACCGGGCACAUCCCGUCGACCUUGAGCUACCGGAUUCGAAGCUUGAGGCAUUUUGAAGAGUUUGUGAGUGCGCCACAGGUAUGGCAGCAUUCCAGGCAAAUCCCUGCCUGGGGCAAAUGUAUGAAUGUGUGUUCCUAGGGUCGUGAGAUCCUAAGAUUGUGAUGCAAUUGAUUGACUGUUUAGUGAAUGAAUGUGUGUAUGCAUGUAAAUGUUUUGAUAUAUGAUAUGAAUUGUUUUGGAAAGACUAUGAGAAGUUUGUUUUGAAAA